rnacentral:rRNA from 1 species
UACGAAGGGUGCUAGCGUUGCUCGGAAUCACUGGGCGUAAAGCGCACGUAGGCGGAUCGCUAAGUCAGGGGUGAAAUCCUGGAGCUCAACUCCAGAACUGCCUUUGAUACUGGCAAUCUCGAGUCCGGGAGAGGUGAGUGGAACUGCGAGUGUAGAGGUGAAAUUCGUAGAUAUUCGCAAGAACACCAGUGGCGAAGGCGGCUCACUGGCCCGGUACUGACGCUGAGGUGCGAAAGCGUGGGGAGCAAACAGG